AUUGAACGCUGGCGGAAUGCUUUACACAUGCAAGUCGAACGGUAGAGGGGGCAACCCCUCGAGAGUGGCGAACGGGUGAGUAAUAUAUCGGAACGUGCCCAGUCGUGGGGAUAACGUAGCGAAAGCUACGCUAAUACCGCAUACGAUCUAAGGAUGAAAGCGGGGGACUCGCAAGAGCCUCGCGCGAUUGGAGCGGCCGAUAUCAGAUUAGGUAGUUGGCGGGGUAAAGGCGUCACCAAGCCAACGAUCUGUAGCUGGUCUGAGAGGACGACCAGCCACACUGGAACUGAGACACGGUCCAGACUCCUACGGAGGCAGCAGUGGGGAAUUUUGGACAAUGGGCGCAAGCCUGAUCCAGCAAUGCCGCGUGCAGGAUGAAGG
rnacentral:rRNA from 1 species